rnacentral:lncRNA from 1 species
CUUUGGCAGCCAUGACUCUCCAAAACCACCGAGGCCUAGACAUCCUCACUGCUGAGAAAGGAGGACUCUGUACCUUCUUAGGGGAAGAGUGUUGUUUUUACACUAACCAGUCAGGGAUAGUACAAGUUGCCACUCAGCAUUGACAGAAAAAGCCUUCUGAAAUCAGAUAACACUUUUCUGAUGUUCUUACAUAUGGAAACCCAAAUGAGCUCAACUAACAACUUCUACCAAGGACCCCUGGACUGACCCGCUGGCCCUUUCACUGGCCUAAAGAGUUCACAUCUGGAGGACACUACAACUUCAGGGUCCCUUCUUUGCCCCUAUCCAGCAGGAAGUAGCUACAGUGGUCAUCACUGAAUUCCCAACAGCAGUUGUGGUGUCCUGUUUGAGGGGGGAUUGACAGGUGAAGCCAGCUAGGCUUCUGGGUCAGGUGGGGACUUGGAGAACUUUUAUGUGUAGCUAAAGGAUGGUAAAUGCACCAAUCAGCACUCUGUGUCUAGCUAAAGGUUUGUAAAGGCACCAAUCAGCACUCUGUAAAAACAGACCAAUCAGCACUCUGUAAAAUGGACCAAUCAGCAGGUUGUGGGUGGGGCCAAAUAAGGGAAUAAAAGCUGGCCACCCCAGCCAGCAGUGGCAACCUGCUCGGGUCCCCUUCCACACUGUGGAAGCUUUGUUCUUUCACUCUUCACAAUAAAUCUUGCUGCUGCUCACUCUUUGGGUCCUCACUACCUUUAUGAGCUGUAACCCUCACCACAACGGUCUGCAGCUUCACUCCUGAAGUCAGCGAGAGCACAAACCCACUGGGAGGAAUGAACAACUCCAGACAUGCCACCUUAAGAGCAGUAACACUCACUGUGAAGGUCUGCAGCUUCACUUCUGAAGUCAGCAAGACCACGAACCCACCAGAAGGAAGAAACUCCAGACAUAUAUGAACAUCUGAAGGAACAACUCCGGACACACCAUCUUUAAGAACUGUAACACUCACUGCGAGGGUCCGCAGCUUUAUUCUUGAAGUCGGCGAGACCAAGAACCCACCAGAAGGAACCAAUUCAGGACACAGAUAGGGUGCAGACCUGCAUAGUGAAACUACCCACAGCAAGGAUGUAUGCCUGUGAGUUGGCACAGAAUCGGUGGAUCAGACUUGGCCUUCAACCUCCUGUUAUCCUGAUGAAAUUGCAAGCUCCAAACAACAGAGACACAACAUUGACCAACAGUAAGAUGCUUGAAGAAAUAUUUCUUUCAGGACAAACUCUGUGCAUCCCAUGAGGGUGGAUGGAUGGACUGAUGAGGACAAAGCCAGUGACAUCAUGAGCAGGAAACAAUGUUUCUCUCAAGCUGCAGCUUCAAAAUGUCAAACAGCCUCUUCCUUGGCUGACAACUGCUUUCUGACUCAACGGGAGACCUUGUUCUCCAACGUCAGGGGCUGUCAGAAACUUUGCUUAUGAGUAAGAAGAACAUCCCAGUUCUUGGAGGAUCUACAUCCACCUCUUCACAGAAGCACAGAGCUACAGAGAAGGGGUUUCUGGAUGGAACAUUCCAAAUCUGGCAGGACUUUAUGGGUUCUAAGGACACAAGACCUAGGUCCACUUUGCAGAGCAGAUUUGACACUGGCUGCUUUACACUAAGACCUGCCAUGCUCUGAGUCCAUCACUACAGCCUCAAAAAUCCCUCCCCACAGUCUUAUAAUAUUCUCUUUGCUUUGUUUUUUGAAUCAUCCCAGGUUGGUUGAUGUGAAUUUAUUCCCUUUUUGCUACAAGCCAAUAGUCUGUUGACUGCAAAAUCAGUUUUGGUGACUGACUGCACUAAGAUAUAUAUUAUUUUUCUGGAAUUUGGGAUGAUUGUAGUAUUUAUUAGGACUUUAAGAUGAGUAAUUUGUUGUGACUUAUUUCCUCUUCUUAAAUAAACACUAACUUUU